rnacentral:rRNA from 1 species
UCGCGGCCUAUCAGCUUGUUGGUGAGGUAACGGCUCACCAAGGCAUCGACGGGUAGCUGGUCUGAGAGGAUGAUCAGCCACACUGGGACUGAGACACGGCCCAGACUCCUACGGGAGGCAGCAGUGGGGAAUCUUGCACAAUGGGCGAAAGCCUGAUGCAGCAACGCCGCGUGCGGGAUGACGGCCCUAGGGUUGUAAACCGCUUUCAGCAGGGAAGAAACUGACGGUACCUGCAGAAGAAGGUGCGGCCAACUACGUGCCAGCAGCCGCGGUGACACGUAGGCACCAAGCGUUGUCCGGAUUUAUUGGGCGUAAAGAGCUCGUAGGCGGUUCGGUAAGUCGGGUGUGAAAACUCUGGGCUCAACCCAGAGAUUGCACCCGAUACUGCUGUGACUAGAGUGCGGUAGGGGAGCGGGGAAUUCCUGGUGUAGCGGUGAAAUGCGCAGAUAUCAGGAGGAACACCAGUGGCGAAGGCGCCGCUCUGGGCCGUAACUGACGCUGAGGAGCGAAAGCAUGGGGAGCAAACAGGAUUAGGUACCCUGGUAGUCCAUGCCGUAAACGUUGGGCACUAGGUGUGGGUCUCAACCAACGAGAUCCGCGCCGUCGCUAACGCAUUAAGUGCCCCGCCUGGGGAGUACGG